rnacentral:rRNA from 1 species
UACGAAGGGGACUAGCGUUGUUCGGAAUUACUGGGCGUAAAGCGCACGUAGGCGGACUCUUAAGUCGGUGGUGAAAUCCUGGAGCUCAACUCCAGAACUGCCUUCGAUACUGAGAGUCUCGAGUCCGAGAGAGGUGAGUGGAACUGCGAGUGUAGAGGUGAAAUUCGUAGAUAUUCGCAAGAACACCAGUGGCGAAGGCGGCUCACUGGCCCGAUACUGACGCUGAGGCACGAAAGCGUGGGGAGCAAACAGG